UACGGAGGGGGCUAGCGUUGUUCGGAAUUACUGGGCGUAAAGCGCACGUAGGCGGCUUUGUAAGUUAGAGGUGAAAGCCCAGGGCUCAACCCUGGAAUUGCCUUUAAGACUGCAUCGCUUGAAUCAUGGAGAGGUGAGUGGAAUUCCGAGUGUAGAGGUGAAAUUCGUAGAUAUUCGGAAGAACACCAGUGGCGAAGGCGACUGACUGGACAAGUAUUGACGCUGAGGUGCGAAAGCGUGGGGAGCAAACAGG
rnacentral:rRNA from 1 species